UAUUGGACAAUGGGGGCAACCCUGAUCCAGCCAUGCCGCGUGAGUGAUGAAGGCCUUAGGGUUGUAAAGCUCUUUCAGCGGGGAAGAUAAUGACGGUACCCGCAGAAGAAGCCUCGGCUAACUCCGUGCCAGCAGCCGCGGUAAUACGGAGGAGGCUAGCGUUGUUCGGAAUUACUGGGCGUAAAGCGUGCGUAGGCGGUUUUUUAAGAUGAGUGUGAAAGCCCGGAGCUCAACUCCGAACUGCGCUCAUGACUGGAAUACUUAGUCCAAGAGGUAGUGAAUUCCCAGUGAAGGUAAAUUCGAGUAUUGGAAGACACCAGUGGCAAGCGCUACUGGCUCGUCUGCGUGUGCAAAUCGAUACUU
rnacentral:rRNA from 1 species